GAAUAACUUUUCUCAGCACUGUGCCUCCUGGUCUGAAAGUAAAGAUGACAACUCACCAGGUCAUUGGGAUACUACUGGUUGUAAAACAACAGUUCAGGAUAGCCAUACCAUAUGUCAGUGUGACCAUCUCUCCUACUUUGCUGUGUUACUGGAAUCAAGCAUCAGCACAUCCUCUUCAGCAGGGCCGACUGAGACUUGUGAACAUUUGUGGUGCCAGCUUGAUGAAAGUGAACACUGCACGGCUGCAGUUGGAAUAGUGAACAAAUUCAUCCAGAGAUGUACCAACCACACUCCGGACAUAGCUUCGAUCAUCUCAGGUUUGGAAAACAAAUUACUGAUUGGAGAUUGUGAAGAGGACAGACAAGUUAUUGAAACAGAGAAUGUAAUAUUCCACAUUCGAGAUACAGAAGUUGAAACUUUCCCAGGUCUCCAGUUCCCUAAUGCAGAUACGGUGAGUGUAUGUGGAAAUCCUCUCAAUGCAGCCCCCCUCAAUACUGCCCCCUCAUUUUUUGUGCUCAAGUCUUAAAGUGGAACAAAAGGCCAAAAGUUUGAAACUUCUUCAGCAUGUUACUCUUGAAGGGAAGAGGGAAAGGGCAUUGCAGAUUCUUGU